AUUGAACGCUGGCGGCAGGCCUAACACAUGCAAGUCGAACGAGUGGCGGACGGGUGAGAAAUGUCUGGGAAACUGCCUGAUGGAGGGGGAUAACUACUGGAAACGGUAGAUAAUAGCGCAUACCAUCGGAUGUGCCCAGCGGGGAUUAGCUAGUAGGUGGGGUAACGGCGAACCUAGGCGACGAUCCCUAGCUGGUCUGCGAGGAUGACCAGCCACACGGGAACUGAGACACGGUCCAGACUCCUACGGGAGGCAGCAGUGGGGAAUAUUGCACAUGGGGCGCAAGCCUGAUGCAGCCAUGCCGCGUGUAUGAAGAAGGCCUUCGGGUUGUAAAGUACUUUCAGCGAGGAGGCGUUACCCGCAGAAGAAGCACCGGCUAACUCCGUGCCAGCAGCCGCGGUAAUUC
rnacentral:rRNA from 1 species